AUAAACUGUUGAAUAUCUAAGGU
rnacentral:snRNA from 1 species